CAGGUGACUGACUUUCUUUGGAUCUCUCUCCCUCCCUCUCUCUAUCUUCUCUGAUUCUAAUUUCUUUUGAUGAGGUUCGGAAUUUACAAUAGAGAGUUCUAAACAAGUGUGUGAAUAGAAUGAAUGAUGCAUGAAUAGAAGAAAUGAUACAUAACAACAUUGUUUGGCAGAAGGGCUUGACUGGUUGGUUUACUAAUUUUAGUUGUUGUACUUCACCUAGUUGAAUGACAUUUAAAUGAUUUUGGAUACAAAUCCUUCAUGCUAUACAAUUUAUGGUUUUAAAUGAGGACAAAUAUAAAAAGUUUGAUGAAUUUUCUUGAGCAUGCUGCAAAGGUUAGUUAUAAAAAUUGCUAGUGAAAGUUGAUGAUACUCUUAAGCAAUAUCUUUGUUGAGUGGAACUAGGAUAUUUCCGGCUUUAAUCUUACUAUUGUUGAGUGUUCAAGUAUAGGUUUUUGGAUUUGAAGGAUAAUUUGUUAAAGUUGAAGGCUUCAAAGAUAAUAAGCAGCAUUAUGGUGAUUGAACAUGUAGAAACGGACACUUUUUAACAAGAACAUGGAUGAAGGUUGAAACUAUUCUUCAUGCACUAGGGAACCUGACUAGCCUGGCCCUAUCUAGACCCGCAAACAAACUGGUCUGGAAUGGAAAUGCAUUUUCCUUACAGCCUGGCCAGGCUUGCAUGACGAUUGGAUAACCUAUCUUUUAUAUGCAUACUUUGUUUAGCUAACUUGACUGAAGUUUAAUUAGAGGGUUAGGCCUGAAUUUCCCCAGCUCAGGCAUGGGAAUCCUGGUCUGACCUAUCAUUUUGAUUGAAGGUUAAUUUGUAGUUUUAAGAACUGACACUAGUUUCUUACAACAUAGAGUGGAAGAGGAACCAUGGUCAUAGACAGCAUAGUGUCUUGGAGGUUUUUGGAAUUGUUGGCUCUAAUAUAUAGUUAAAAUUGUUCCUCAUGUAUCAGAACUUUAUGUUCUUGUGCUGGUCCAGCAAACUUUUUGCUUCUGUUCUGCUUUUAUUGCAGGAUAAUUGUAUUUCCUUCUGUUAACCGUCUUUUGUUCCCCUAUUUGCAGAUUUCCUCAUUUUGUUCUUUACGGAAGCUCUUUUCUACAGUGGUGUUGCGGUGUUUCUGUUGCUAAUAGACCAAUUAAGGAGGCCCAUGGAAGCAGAGUCUGCUGCAAAUGGUGGCACAAACCUGGCUCCCCAGUUGGGACAGCGAAUUUCUUCUGUUGCUGCCCUUGUACUAAGUCUUAUAAUUCCAUUGGUGACAAUGGGCUUCGUAUGGCCUUGGACUGGCCCUGCAGCUUCUGCAAC
rnacentral:lncRNA from 1 species